UCCGGGGGGGGCGGCUUUACACAUGCAAGUCGAACGCACCCUUCGGGGUGAGUGGCAGACGGGUGAGUAACGCGUGGGAACCUACCUUUCGGUUCGGAAUAACUUGGGGAAACUCAAGCUAAUACCGGAUACGCCCUUCGGGGGAAAGAUUUAUUGCCGAUGGAUGGGCCCGCGUUGGAUUAGCUAGUUGGUGUGGUAAUGGCGCACCAAGGCGACGAUCCAUAGCUGGUCUAAGAGGAUGAUCAGCCACACUGGGACUGAGACACGGCCCAGACUCCUACGGGAGGCAGCAGUGGGGAAUAUUGGACAAUGGGCGAAAGCCUGAUCCAGCCAUGCCGCGUGAGUGAUGACGGCCUUAGGGUUGUAAAGCUCUUUCGCCAGGGAUGAUAAUGACAGUACCUGGUAAAGAAGCCCCGGCUAACUUCGUGCCAGCAGCCGCGGUAAU
rnacentral:rRNA from 1 species